rnacentral:tRNA from 1 species
GUUUUUAUAGUUGAAUUAACAACGGUGGUUCUUCAAGUCACUGGCCUCGGUUAAAAUCCGAGUAGGAAUU